rnacentral:snoRNA from 2 species
GGCAUGUAUUCUGAAUCUAAAGUUGAUUAUAAACCACUUUAGCUCUAGAAUUACUCUGAGA